GAAGAUGACGAGCGGCGGACGGGUGAGUAAUACUUAGGAAUCUACCUAGUAGUGGGGGAUAGCACGGGGAAACUCGUAUUAAUACCGCAUACGACCUACGGGAGAAAGGGGGCAGUUUACUGCUCUCGCUAUUAGAUGAGCCUAAGUCGGAUUAGCUAGAUGGUGGGGUAAAGGCCUACCAUGGCGACGAUCUGUAGCUGGUCUGAGAGGAUGAUCAGCCACACCGGGACUGAGACACGGCCCGGACUCCUACGGGAGGCAGCAGUGGGGAAUAUUGGACAAUGGGGGAAACCCUGAUCCAGCCAUGCCGCGUGUGUGAAGAAGGCCUUUUGGUUGUAAAGCACUUUAAGCAGUGAAGAAGACUCCUCGGUUAAUACCCGUGGACGAUGACAUUAGCUGCAGAAUAAGCACCGGCUAACUCUGUGCCAGCAGCCGCGGUAAUACAGAGGGUGCAAGCGUUAAUCGGAAUUACUGGGCGUAAAGGGAGCGUAGGUGGCUCGAUAAGUCAGAUGUGAAAUCCCCGGGCUCAACCUGGGA
rnacentral:rRNA from 1 species